rnacentral:rRNA from 1 species
UUAGCCUUAAACCUCAGUAGUUAAAACAACAAAACUACUCGCCAGAAUACUACAAGCAAUGGCUUGAAACUCAAAGGACUUGGCGGUGCUUCAUAUCCCCCUAGAGGAGCCUGUCCCGUAAUCGAUAAACCCCGAUCCACCUCACCCUCUCUUGCUCAGCCUAUAUACCGCCAUCUUCAGCAAACCCUGAUAAAGGUUACAAAGUGAGCGCAAAUGCCUCUCUUCGCAAAAACGUUAGGUCAAGGUGUAGCCCAUGAGACGGUAAAAGAUGGGCUACAUUUUCUACCUCAGAAAACUCUACGACAACUCUUAUGAAACCUAAGAAUCCAAGGAGGAUUUAGCAGUAAAUUAAGAAUAGAGUGCUUAAUUGAACUAGGCCAUAAAGCACGC